rnacentral:lncRNA from 1 species
CUUAUAGCCUUUCCUUUCUCUACACAGGCUCCUAAUGGACCUUUCCUGCCAGUAGACCCAAGGAAGGAAAUAGAUGAAUAUCACAAUCUCUCCAGGACCAGCUGCAUUAGCAAAAGCAUUGUUGACCUCUUGAUGUCAUAGUUGUAGAAUAGUUGACUAUUUGAACAUUUUUUAAGUGUUUUUUUAGCCUCUACGUGUGCACAAAAAAAAUAAACCC